rnacentral:lncRNA from 1 species
UAAUGAUGUGGGACAGCUUGUCACUAUUAUGUGGAAGUACAGAUGAACAAGAUGCAUCACAUCAUAUAGAAGUCUUUUUUUGAAAAUCUGAUUCUUACUGAAGAGAGAGAUUGUGUGACACACGCCACCUUUGAUAGAUUCAAAGUCGUCUUCAGUGCGUUGGCUCAGAAGCAUAUGAACUUUGUCAAGGGUGGAGAGAGAUGGAAAGAAGGAAAGAUUUUGGCAGAAUUGAUUCUUCAAAAUUUCCCCUUGUGCUAAUUAGAGAACAUGAUGGAGAUGGAAUGCCAUGACUGAAUGGUUUUGUUUAGCUCUAAAAAUUCAAUUAAAAUAAAUAUUAAUUUCUAAA